rnacentral:rRNA from 1 species
AGAGUUUGAUCCUGGCUCAGAACGAACGCUGGCGGCAUGCCUAAUACAUGCAAGUCGAACGAGAUCUUCGGAUCUAGUGGCGCACGGGUGCGUAACGCGUGGGAAUCUGCCCUUGGGUUCGGAAUAACUUCUGGAAACGGAAGCUAAUACCGGAUGAUGACGUAAGUCCAAAGAUUUAUCGCCCAAGGAUGAGCCCGCGUAGGAUUAGCUAGUUGGUGGGGUAAAGGCUCACCAAGGCGACGAUCAGUAGCGGGUCUGAGAGGAUGAUCCGCCACACUGGAACUGAGACACGGUCCAGACUCCUACGGGAGGCAGCAGUGGGGAAUUUUGGACAAUGGGCGCAAGCCUGAUCCAGCCAUUCCGCGUGAGUGAAGAAGGCCUUCGGGUUGUAAAGCUCUUUCGGCAGGAACGAAACGGUGCGCACUAACAUUGCGUACUAAUGACGGUACCUGAAGAAGAAGCACCGGCUAACUACGUGCCAGCAGCCGCGGUAAUACGUAGGGUGCGAGCGUUAAUCGGAAUUACUGGGCGUAAAGCGUGCGCAGGCGGCUUUUUAAGCCAGAUGUGAAAUCCCCGGGCUUAACCUGGGAACUGCAUUUGGAACUGGAAGGCUAGAGUGCGGCAGAGGGGGGUAGAAUUCCACGUGUAGCAGUGAAAUGCGUAGAGAUGUGGAGGAAUACCGAUGGCGAAGGCAGCCCCCUGGGUCGACACUGACGCUCAUGCACGAAAGCGUGGGGAGCAAACAGGAUUAGAUACCCUGGUAGUCC